GAGAAGGGUACUAAACCUCUUGCCCUAUUUUUUCUUCUGCACAAAACAUUUAUCCCUAAAACCUUCUACACUAUUUUCUUUCGCCCAAGGAAGAACGGGUACAACGUUUUGUUCUUCUUCUUUAUCACUCUGCCUUUUUUGUUGAUUGGUUUGCAGUGGCCACUAUUGGUGAGGAUUGGACUGAGGAAUUGGAAAAGAAAGACGGUGCCGAUGGGGAGGAGACGGAUUAGGUUUCUGAUGCCGGUAAGGGUUUUUUCAGUGGCAGAGGCAACCAUGAAUUGAAAUGGGAGCUAUGAAUGGAAGCGAUGAAGUGAAUAAAAUGGAUUUUAAGUUUUCUUAUGAAGAGAAAGGAAGUUAGUGUUAGAGCUCAACAGUUGGAAUGAAAUUGGCUUAUUCAAUGACAAUAGAAGCUGGAAUUCCAUUAAUUAUGGACACAAAUAUUGUAAUAUCAAGGGAGAUUUCAGAUUCUUAUACAUGGGGACAAACCAAUAAGAAAUCAACUGAUAAAACAUCUUCAUAUUCACUUAAAGUACAUCCAAGAAUUUCAGUCAAAGUGAGUGCCAUGCUAACCAAAGGAUAUUGUGAUGUUCCAUUCUCAUAUACUUAACGUGAUCUUCUUGUCAAUGGACAAACAAGAACUACAGAACAUGAUUAUGGUUUUCACAGGACUCAAUUGCUACAAUAUGGAGAGAAAUCUGGUAAUGAGUCUUGGAAAGGACUUUCUUAGAGAAUGGUAAGUUCCUUUUCUUUGUCUCUAAACCUAUUAUUAUAUUAUUUAUUUUGAAGUCUUGGAAAGAACUUUCUUGUGGAUGACCAAGAGUGCCCUGUAGAUGUUUACGUGAUAGAAUUAAGAGGGUCUGUAGGUAACUUAAUUGUUACAUUGGAAUGUAAUUUGUAACGCAUGAACCGUAUAAAACUGUUAAGUUAAUAAAGAGAAGUAGUUAUGUA